AUUAAUUCUCAGCAGGUAGUUCCCUUUACUGAUAUAAGCGUUCAAAUUGUCUGGUGUGGUCCAGCUGAGGACUGGAACAAAGUAAAUCUUCCUCGGUGGAGAAGGACACCUGAACUCAGCAGAGCACACCAGACAGCAGGGCACUGGCAGAGCACUUUUGAAUUCUAUCGCCUAUGCUGAAAACAGGUGAAGAUAUGGUUGAAUAAAUCUGGCCCAGCCUAUCAAAGGAGUUACAGAUGAAAAUUAGUAGGACUGAGCAAGAACAAGGAAGGAAUUACAUUUGAUUGGGAAAGUGGGGGAAAAAAAACCUCAACGUGAUUCAAAAUACUGUAUAUUUAUUAAACAUUGGUUAUGUACCCUGUUGGAAAUGUAAAAGUAACAUAUCUUCUCUUUCUGGGUCUCAAACAUUUAAGAUCUAGUUAAGGAACUGGACUUUUACAUAAAAUACAAUUGGACAACAUUCAACACUAUGAGUUAGAAUAUUCAUGAGCCAAAGUCUUUGGCGUAGACAUUUAGUAAUAUGAGAAGUCAGGAAAAGAAGAAAUUACUGUGGGCUGGAGUGGGUUGGGAAGAUGAGAUGGGAGAAUUGACAUGGGACUGGAGAAAGAGUGAGAUUCAGAGAGAUGAAUCCACUCCCCGACCCCUGAGGAAAAAAAAAAAAAUGCAAGAGAGAAAAGAGGGAGAAAGAGAGAGAGAAAGAACAGGGAAAAAAGAAAUGAGGAAAAACAGGUCACCAGCAGGAAUGAGGAAGGAAAGAGGCAGGUAAGUGGUGGAUUUUUGCUCCACAGAAGGCAAUAUAACAAGAGGUGGCAAUUCCUGGCAGGCCAUGUUGAACAAAAUGCACUUUUGCCCUUGUUGGUAUGUCCAGAAAUUCAAGUUUGAAAGUUGAAAGUCCUGGCUUAUGUGACAGUAAAUAUAUGUUUGGGGAAAA